CCUACGGGGGGCAGCAGUGAGGAAUAUUGGUCAAUGGACGAGAGUCUGAACCAGCCAAGUAGCGUGAAGGAUGACUGCCCUACGGGUUGUAAACUUCUUUUAUAAAGGAAUAAAGUGAGGCACGUGUGCCUUUUUGUAUGUACUUUAUGAAUAAGGAUCGGCUAACUCCGUGCCAGCAGCCGCGGUAAUACGGAGGAUCCGAGCGUUAUCCGGAUUUAUUGGGUUUAAAGGGAGCGUAGAUGGGUUGUUAAGUCAGUUGUGAAAGUUUGCGGCUCAACCGUAAAAUUGCAAUUGAUACUGGCAGCCUUGAGUACAGUUGGGGUAGGCGGAAUUCGUGGUGUAGCGGUGAAAUGCUUAGAUAUCACGAAGAACUCCGAUUGCGAAGGCAGCCUACUAAACUGCCACUGACAUUGAUGCUCGAAAGUGUGGGGAUCAAACAGGAUUAGAUACCCCGGUAGUC
rnacentral:rRNA from 1 species